rnacentral:rRNA from 1 species
AGUUUGAUCCUGGCUCAGGAUGAACGCUGGCGGCGUGCCUAAUACAUGCAAGUCGAACGAAUCUCUUUUAGAGAUGAGUGGCGAACGGGUGAGUAAUACAUAGGUAACCUGCCCCUGUGCGGGGGAUAACAGGAGGAAACUCCUGCUAAUACCGCAUAGCCAUGAGCACCGCAUGGAGCUCAUGCCAAAUAUCCUUUAUGGGAUAGCGCAGGGAUGGACCUAUGGCGCAUUAGCUUGUUGGCGGGGCAACGGCCCACCAAGGCAACGAUGCGUAGCCGGCCUGAGAGGGCGGACGGCCACAUUGGGACUGAGACACGGCCCAGACUCCUACGGGAGGCAGCAGUAGGGAAUUUUCGGCAAUGGGGGAAACCCUGACCGAGCAACGCCGCGUGAGCGAAGAAGGCCUUCGGGUCGUAAAGCUCUGUUGUAAAGGAAGAACGGCGCAUACAGGAAAUGGUAUGCGAGUGACGGUACUUUACCAGAAAGCCACGGCUAACUACGUGCCAGCAGCCGCGGUAAUACGUAGGUGGCGAGCGUUAUCCGGAAUCAUUGGGCGUAAAGAGGGAGCAGGCGGCCGCAAGGGUCUGUGGUGAAAGACCGAAGCUAAACUUCGGUAAGCCAUGGAAACCGGGCGGCUAGAGUGCGGAAGAGGAUCGUGGAAUUCCAUGUGUAGCGGUGAAAUGCGUAGAUAUAUGGAGGAACACCAGUGGCGAAGGCGACGGUCUGGGCCGCAACUGACGCUCAUUCCCGAAAGCGUGGGGAGCAAAUAGGAUUAGAUACCCUAGUAGUCCACGCCGUAAACGAUGGUCACUAAGUGUCGGGGGUCAAACCCCGGUGCUGCAGUCAACGCAAUAAGUGACCCGCCUGAGUAGUACGUUCGCAAGAAUGAAACUCAAAGGAAUUGACG